rnacentral:rRNA from 1 species
CCUACGGGUGGCAGCAGUGAGGAAUAUUGGUCAAUGGGCGUAAGCCUGAACCAGCCAAGUCGCGUGCGGGAUGAAGGUUCUAUGGAUCGUAAACCUCUUUUAUAAGGGAAUAAAGUGUAGGACGUGUCCUAUUUUGUAUGUACCUUAUGAAUAAGGAUCGGCUAACUCCGUGCCAGCAGCCGCGGUAAUACGGAGGAUCCGAGCGUUAUCCGGAUGUAUUGGGUUUAAAGGGUGCGUAGGCGGCCUUAUAAGUCAGCGGUGAAAGUCUGUGGCUCAACCCUAGAACUGCCGUUGAAACUGGGGGGCUUGAGUAUGUUUGAGGUAGGCGGAAUGCGUGGUGUAGCGGUGAAAUGCUUAGAUAUCACGCAGAACCCCGAUUGCGAAGGCAGCCUGCCAAGCCAUGACUGACGCUGAUGCACGAAAGCGUGGGGAUCAAACAGGAUUAGAUACCCUAGUAGUC